UACGAAGGGGGCAAGCGUUGUCCGGAAUCAUUGGGCGUAAAGCGCGCGUAGGCGGCCUCGUAAGUCCGGUGUAAAAGUCACAGGCUCAACCUGUGAACGCCGGUGGAUACUGCGAGGCUAGAGUCCGGAAGAGGCGAGUGGAACUCCUGGUGUAGCGGUGGAAUGCGCAGAUAUCAGGAAGAACACCAACGGCGAAGGCAGCUCGCUGGGACGGUACUGACGCUGAGGCGCGAAAGCGUGGGGAGCGAACAGG
rnacentral:rRNA from 1 species